CCGCUGCCAGCCAGCCCCGGUCCUCCGAGGGUCACCUGCACAGGCUCCGCCCGGCACCGCGCGCCGCAGCCGCUGGCACUCGGGCCUGGCCGACGGCGGGGAUGCUGUGAGCUGCGGGGCCGGGGUCGGGGCACUAGGCCCCGCGGAAGUGAGUCUUUGUGCGGCCCCGCUGCGACACACCCUACCGCGGCGCCGAAGGCCGGGCUACCUGCGCGCGAGGCAGCGCCCGGGAGCGGGCCGGGUGGGGUGCAGGGGAGCGAGCGCAGCAUCCUCCCGGCCCGCAGGCUCCCUUUGUUCCGCCCGCUCGGCCGGCCCCAGGCCGCCGCCCGGCCCUCGCUCCCGGAAACUCCUCGGAGGCGCAGGGGUCGGGGUUGUAGCGGGAGUGGCCACCUGCCCCUGGGAAUUCCCUAAUGCACCCUCUGCCCGGCCAUCCCCGCCGGGCGGGCAAAGUUCUCCGGACCGCGGCCCCCAGGCUGCUGGCCCGGCGCGCGGAGAACAGGCGCUGGAGCCGGGGGUGGGGCGGCAGAUCGGAUGUCCCUCUGCCAGCGUGCGGAAUGUCCAUUUGUCGCCGCGGCCCUCGUCCCUUCUGAGGGGACCGCAGCUGGUCCCUGGGACCAAGACCACGACGCGCUUUGUUUGCUGAUGGGGAGAAAAAGAUCUUUCUUUUCAUCAGAUGUGGGCUUCCCUAGUGGCUCAGAUGUAAAGAAUCCACCUGCAAUGCAGAAGACCUGGAUUCAAUCCCUGGGUUGGAAAGAUCCCUUGGAGAAGGGAAUGGCAACCCACUCCAGUAUUCUUGCUUGGAGAAUCCCAUGGGCAGAGGAGCCUGGCAGACUACAGCCUAUGGCGUCAUAAAGAGUCAGACACAACUAAGUGACCAACACUUCACUUCAGUAGAUAAGAAGCCUGUACCGGAAGACACUGAGGCAUGACUAUCUCUUGCCGCCAUCUAGCUUGCAUCUCCCUAUCCUGGAACUCCAACUGGAAAUGGAGCAGCCUCGGGCAGGGUCAGGGGGUCACAGCCACACCUGCAGAACUGACCUAGGUGAAAACAAGUCAGGCUGUGAAAGAAGUUUCCCUUUGGCAAACUUUUCCGUGUAAUCCACGACCUAAAUUUAAAAGGACAGGACUCAGAGCCCAGGGUUUGAGUCCCCUGCAUCGUAUAGCAAAUUCCCACUGGCCGUCUAUUUUACACGUGGUAACGUAUAUGUUUCUAGGCUAUUCUUUCUAUUCACUCCACCCUCUCCUUCCUUUCUCCCGCAACCCCAUGUCCACAAGUCUGUUCUCUGUGUCUGCCUCUCCUUACAGAUGGGUUCGUCAGUACUAUCUUUCUGGAUUCCACAUAUAUGCAUUUAUAUACGAUAUUUGCUUUUUUCGUUCUGUCUUACUUCACUGUGUGUAACAGGCUCUAGGUUCAUCCACUGUGUUAGAACUAACUCAGAAGUGACAACUUAGAGUGGGAUGGGGUGGGGGGUGGGAGGUGGAGGGAGGUUCAGGAGGGAGGGGACAUAUGUGUACCUAUGGCUUAUUCAUGCUGAUGUAUGGCAGAA
rnacentral:lncRNA from 1 species